UACGGAGGGUGUAAGCGUUAUCCGGAUUUACUGGGUUUAAAGGGUGCGUAGGUGGGCAGGUAAGUCAGUGGUGAAAUCUUCAAGCUUAACUUGGAAACUGCCAUUGAUACUAUUUGUCUUGAAUAUCCUGGAGGUAAGCGGAAUAUGUCAUGUAGCGGUGAAAUGCUUAGAUAUGACAUAGAACACCCAUUGCGAAGGCAGCUUACUACGGGAUUAUUGACACUGAGGCACGAAAGCGUGGGGAUCAAACAGG
rnacentral:rRNA from 1 species